UCCUUGUUAGUAUAUCGGUUAGUACGCCCGCUUGUCACGCGGGAGAGCUGGGUUCAACUCCCAGACAGGGAG
rfam:Wallemia ichthyophaga EXF-994 unplaced genomic scaffold scaffold1, whole genome shotgun sequence.